UAGGGAAUCUUCCGCAAUGGACGCAAGUCUGACGGAGCAACGCCGCGUGAGUGAAGAAGGAUUUCGGUUCGUAAAACUCUGUUGUUAGAGAAGAACAGCGCAUAGAGUAACUGUUAUGCGUGUGACGGUAUCUAACCAGAAAGCCACGGCUAACUACGUGCCAGCAGCCGCGGUAAUACGUAGGUGGCAAGCGUUGUCCGGAUUUAUUGGGCGUAAAGCGAGCGCAGGCGGUCAAUUAAGUCUGAUGUGAAAGCCCCCGGCUCAACCGGGGAGGGUCAUUGGAAACUGGUUGACUUGAGUGCAGAAGAGGAGAGAGGAAUUCCAUGUGAAGCAGUGAAGUGCGUAGAUAUAUGGAGGAACACCAGUGGCGAAGGCGACUCGCUGGUCUGUAACUGACGAUGAGGCUCGAAAGCGUGGGUAGCAAACAGG
rnacentral:rRNA from 1 species